CUAAAGCUCCAAAGGAAGCCACGGCUAACUCUGUGCCAGCAGCCGCGGUAAUACAGAGGCGGCAAGCGUUGUUCGGAAUUAUUGGGCGUAAAGGGCACGUAGGCGGCCCUGUAAGUCAGCUGUGAAAGCCUUCUGCUUAACGGAAGAACAGCAGUUGAAACUACAGUGCUUGAGUGCGGGAGGGGAGAGUGGAACUUCUGGUGGAGCGGUGAAAUGCGUAGAUAUCAGAAGGAACGCCGGCGGCGAAAGCGGCUCUCUGGCCCGUAACUGACGCUGAGUGUGCGAAAGCUAGGGGAGCAAACGGGAUUAGAUACCCCGGUAGUCCUAGCCGUAAA
rnacentral:rRNA from 1 species